GGGGACGACAUGGCUUCGACGGGGGUUGCAAAGCGGAUGAGGGCAUACCGGGAUCUCAGUCACCCCGUUAAACACUGAAUUUAUAUAGUCGCAAACGACGAAUCUUACGCUCUGGCUGCUUAAUUGCGCCAGACUCUACACUGUCUCGCCCAUCGGGCAGGCCGGGUCAAACCGGCAGUAGAGUCAUUUAGAUGGGAUCGUGUCGGACCGGGUCACUUGAUCCGGCACUAAAUCCAAGGUGACUCGCCAAUGUGCAGCCUGUCGGUCGGCGGUACAACGGUUAAAACCAAAUGGCCAGACUAAGUAUGUAGAACUCACCGUAGAGGACUUCCGGACGCGGGUUCGAUCCCCGCCGUCUCCACCA
rnacentral:tmRNA from 1 species